rnacentral:rRNA from 1 species
GACGAGUGGCGGACGGGUGAGUAAUGCUUGGGAACUUGCCUUUGCGAGGGGGAUAACAGUUGGAAACGACUGCUAAUACCGCAUAAUGUCUUCGGACCAAACGGGGCUUCGGCUCCGGCGCAAAGAGAGGCCCAAGUGAGAUUAGCUAGUUGGUAAGGUAACGGCUUACCAAGGCGACGAUCUCUAGCUGUUCUGAGAGGAAGAUCAGCCACACUGGGACUGAGACACGGCCCAGACUCCUACGGGAGGCAGCAGUGGGGAAUAUUGCACAAUGGGGGAAACCCUGAUGCAGCCAUGCCGCGUGUGUGAAGAAGGCCUUCGGGUUGUAAAGCACUUUCAGUUGUGAGGAAAAGUUAGUAGUUAAUACCUGCUAGCCGUGACGUUAACAACAGAAGAAGCACCGGCUAACUCCGUGCCAGCAGCCGCGGUAAUACGGAGGGUGCGAGCGUUAAUCGGAAUUACUGGGCGUAAAGCGCACGCAGGCGGUUUGUUAAGCUAGAUGUGAAAGCCCCGGGCUCAACCUGGGAUGGUCAUUUAGAACUGGCAGACUAGAGUCUUGGAGAGGGGAGUGGAAUUCCAGGUGUAGCGGUGAAAUGCGUAGAUAUCUGGAGGAACAUCAGUGGCGAAGGCGACUCCCUGGCCAAAGACUGACGCUCAUGUGCGAAAGUGUGGGUAGCGAACAGGAUUAGAUACCCUGGUAGUCCACACCGUAAACGCUGUCUACUAGCUGUGUGUGCCUUUAAGGCGUGCGUAGCGAAGCUAACGCGCUAAGUAGACCGCCUGGGGAGUACGGCCGCAAGGUUAAAACUCAAAUGAAUUGACGGGGGG